rnacentral:rRNA from 1 species
UGAGGGAUAUUGGGCAAUGGGCGCAAGCCUGACCCAGCGACGCCGCGUGGAGGACGACGGGCUUCGGCUCGUAAACUCCUUUUCCCGGGGACGAGACAAGGACGGUACCCGGGGAAUAAGUCUCGGCUAACUACGUGCCAGCAGCCGCGGUAAUACGUAGGAGGCAAGCGUUAGCCGGAAUUACUGGGAGUAAAGGGCGCGCAGGCGGGAUAAAAAGUCAGUGGUGAAAUCCUACAGCUUAACUGUAGAACUGCCUUUGAUACUUUUAUUCUUGAGUGCGGGAAAGNGAGACCAACUUCCAGGUGUAGUGGUGAAAUACGUAGAUAUCUGGAAGAACACCAGUUGCGAAGGCGGUCUCUUGGUCCGACACUGACGCUGAGGCGCGAAAGCGUGGGGAGCAAACA